rnacentral:rRNA from 1 species
UACGAAGGGGGCGAGCGUUGUUCGGAUUUACUGGGCGUAAAGGGCGCGCAGGCGGCUCAUUUUGUCAGGCGUGAAAGCCCCGGGCUUAACCUGGGAACUGCGUUUGAUACGGAUGGGCUAGAGUUCGGGAGAGGAGAGUGGAAUUCCCAGUGUAGAGGUGAAAUUCGUAGAUAUUGGGAAGAACACCGGUGGCGAAGGCGGCUCUCUGGACCGAUACUGACGCUGAGGAGCGAAAGCGUGGGGAGCGAACGAGGA